rnacentral:rRNA from 1 species
UACGUAGGGCGCAAGCGUUAUACGGAUUUAUUGGGUUUAAAGGGUGCGCAGGCGGACUAAUAAGUCAGUGGUGAAAUUUACAUGCUUAACAUGUGACGUGCCAUUGAUACUGUUAGACUAGUAUACAAAUGACGUAGCUGGAAUGUGUUAUGUAGCGGUGAAAUGCAUAGAUAUAACACAGAACACCGAUCGUGAAGACAGGUUACGAAUUUGUGAUAGACGCUCAUGCACGAAAGCGUGGGGAUCAAACA